GCUCUUCAUCAAAAUAACAUUUGAGUCCUUACUAAGCUACCCUAAGAUAAGAAACUUAUUGGUUGUAAAUGAGUUUACAGAAUUAAAUAUAAAGUUGAUGUUUCCUUAGAAUGAUACAAGGAUAGGCUUGUUGCCAAAAGUUUCAAACAAAUUAAAGGUAUUGAUUUCUUCGACACUUUCUGAUCAUGUUGCUAAACUGACUACUAUAAGAGCCGAAGAGACAUUUAAAAGCAACAAAAAUAGAAGGAAAAAAACUUCGCAAUGAUUGGUUACUUUCAAUGUGAUUCAUUAGAUAUGAUGAGAGCUGAAAAGACCAAGAUUUUACGGUAAAAUGAAUGAAAACUAUGGAGAUCAAAAUAAUACAUAUUAUUAAAUCGGAUCCAUUCAAAAUUCAAUAUAGUACAACGCUAAAAAUUUCCAGUACAGUGCAAUGCAUUUCCCCUGAUUACUUGAUGGUUUUCCAUGCCAUUGCUGAAAGCAGGAUGAAGAUUCUUUUUUGGGGAAAUCUUUCAAACACACUGCUUGCUUACUAGUACUACCUUUCCGAGUAUACAAAGGCAACAUCGACAGCUGCCACUGUCAGGCCAGCACUAUAUUUAGUCAUCACCUGUACCAGAUUCCACAAGCAGAAUUAAAACAAGUGUUACGGCAUGUAUUGUAAGUAAAUUUCCUAAAGUAGAACUACCAAUCAUCUAGUACACAGCUUGAACACGACUAGAUUGAAAACAGUUGUGAUCAACAAUGUGGACAGCCCAACUUAAGAAUACACUAUUUACCAAAACGUAAACUCAUGUCUUUAAUUUUAUCGAGGCCUAAAUGAUUGACUCAAAUGGAAAGUUACAUAUUCUGCAAACUACGUAGAUUAUAUCAUAUAGGAGUACAGAUUUGAUGAACAAAUUCACAUACAAAGGAUUGUAUAUCAAAAAAGAUUUUGCUUCAAAAAAAAAAUUGUAUAUCAAAAAAACAAAAUUAAAAAAGA
rnacentral:lncRNA from 1 species